rnacentral:rRNA from 1 species
GGAUUGAACGCUGGCGGCAGGCCCAACACAUGCAAGUCGAGCGGCAGCACGGGUACUUGUACCUGGUGGCGAGCGGCGGACGGGUGAGUAAUGCCUAGGAAUCUGCCUGGUAGUGGGGGGAUAACGCUCGGAAACGGACGCUAAUACCGCAUACGUCCUACGGGAGAAAGCAGGGGACCUUCGGGCCUUGCGCUAUCAGAUGAGCCUAGGUCGGAUUAGCUAGUUGGUGAGGUAAUGGCUCCCCAAGGCGACGAUCCGUAACUGGUCUGAGAGGAUGAUCAGUCACACUGGAACUGAGACACGGUCCAGACUCCUACGGGAGGCAGCAGUGGGGAAUAUUGGACAAUGGGCGAAAGCCUGAUCCAGCCAUGCCGCGUGUGUGAAGAAGGUCUUCGGAUUGUAAAGCAACUUUAAGUUAGGAGAAGGCAGUUACCUAAUACGUAAUCUGUUUUAGACGUUACCGACAGAAUAAGACUACGACUAAACUCUGUAGCCAGCAA